rnacentral:rRNA from 1 species
AGAGUUUGAUCCUGGCUCAGGACGAACGCUGGCGGCGUGCUUAACACAUGCAAGUCGAGCGAUGAAGCACCUUCGGGUGUGAAUUAGCGGCGAACGGGUGAGGAACACGUGAGAAAUCUGCCUUCAACACUGGGAUAACUCCGGGAAACCGGGGCUAAUACCGGAUAUGAAACCUGCGGGCAUCCGCGGGUUUGGAAAGUUUUUCGGUUGAAGAUGAUCUCGCGGCCUAUCAGCUUGUUGGUGAGGUAAUGGCUCACCAAGGCGACGACGGGUAGCCGGCCUGAGAGGGCGACCGGCCACACUGGGACUGAGACACGGCCCAGACUCCUACGGGAGGCAGCAGUGGGGAAUAUUGGGCAAUGGAGGAAACUCUGACCCAGCGACGCCGCGUGCGGGAUGAAGGCCUUCGGGUUGUAAACCGCUUUCAGCAGGGAAGAAGCGAAAGUGACGGUACCUGCAGAAGAAGCACCGGCUAACUAUGUGCCAGCAGCCGCGGUAAUGCAUAGGGUGCAAGCGUUGUCCGGAAUUAUUGGGCGUAAAGAGCUCGUAGGUGGUUCGUCACGUCGGAUGUGAAACUCUGGGGCUUAACCCCAGACCUGCAUUCGAUACGGGCGAGCUUGAGUAUGGUAGGGGAGUCUGGAAUUCCUGGUGUAGCGGUGGAAUGCGCAGAUAUCAGGAGGAACACCAAUGGCGAAGGCAGGACUCUGGGCCAUUACUGACACUGAGGAGCGAAAGCGUGGGGAGCGAACAGGAUUAGAUACCCUGGUAGUCCACGCCGUAAACGGUGGGCACUAGUUGUGGGGACCUUCCACGGUCUCUGCGACGCAGCUAACGCAUUAAGUGCCCCGCCUGGGGAGUACGAUCGCAAGAUUAAAACUCAAAGGAAUUGACGG